rnacentral:rRNA from 1 species
GUGGUGGAACUAGGUAUGCGACAAGUAGGGCGGGACACGUGAAAUCCUGUCUGAAGAUGGGGGGACCAUCCUCCAAGGCUAAAUACUCGUGAUCGACCGAUAGUGAACCAGUACCGUGAGGGAAAGGUGAAAAGAACCCCGGGAGGGGAGUGAAAUAGAAUCUGAAACCGCAUGCAUACAAACAGGGGUGACUGCGUACCUUUUGUAUAAUGGGUCAGCGACUUACAUUCAGUAGCGAGCUUAACUGAGUAAGGUAGGCGUAGCGAAAGCGAGUCUUAAUAGGGCGAAAGUUGCUGGGUGUAGACCCGAAACCAGAUGAUCUACUCAUGGCCAGGAUGAAGCGAAGGUAACACUUCUUGGAGGUCCGAACCCACUAAUGUUGAAAAAUUAGGGGAUGAGCUGUGGGUAGGGGUGAAAGGCUAAACAAAUCUGGAGAUAGCUGGUUCUCUCCGAAAACUAUUUAGGUAGUGCCUCAUAUAUCGUCUUUAGGGGUAGAGCUCUGUUAUGGCUAGGGGAUCGACUAGAUUUACCAAACCAUUGCAAACUUCGAAUACUAAAGAACGUCAGUAUGGGAGACAGACAUUGGGUGCUAACGUCCAGUGUCGAAAGGGAAACAACCCAGACCCUCAGCUAAGGUCCCAAAGAUAUAAUUAAGUGGUAAACGAAGUGGAAAGGCAUAAACAGUCAGGAGAUUGGCUUAGAAGCAGCCAUUCUUUAAAGAAAGCGUAAUAGCUCACUGAUCGAGUCUUUCUGCGCGGAAGAUGUAACGGGGCUAAAUUAUACACCGAAGCUAGGGAUUCAUAUAUUUUGUAUGGAUGGUAGGAGAGCGUUCCGUAGGCCUGUGAAGAUAAUUUGUAAAAAUUGUUGGAGGUAUCGGAAGUGCGAAUGCUGACAUGAGUAGCGAUAAAGGAAGUGAAAAACUUCCUCGCCGAAAACCCAAGGUUUCCUGCGCAACGUUAAUCGGAGCAGGGUGAGUCGGCCCCUAAGGCGAGGCUAAUUGCGUAGCUGAUGGGAAACUGGUUAAAAUUCCAGUACCUUUAUUUAAUGCGAUGUGGGGACGAAGAAGGUUAGCUCAGCCAGGUGUUGGAUGUCCUGGUUAAAGCGUGUAGAUGUGCUAUUUAGGUAAAUCCGGAUAGAUAAAUUGAGGCGUGAUAACGAAGCACAGUUAUCUGUGUUAAGUGAGUAAUACCAAGCUUCCAAGAAAAGCCACUAAGCUUCAGUUAAAUAAAGACCGUACCGUAAACCGACACAGGUGGGUAGGAUGAGAAUUCUAAGGCGCUUGAGAGAACUCAGGAGAAGGAACUCGGCAAAUUGACACCGUAACUUCGGGAGAAGGUGUACCUUUAGUAAGUGAAUAACUUCGCGUUAAUAGCUGAAUAAGGUUGCAAAAAAUAGGUGGCUGCGACUGUUUAAUAAAAACACAGCACUCUGCAAACACGUAAGUGGACGUAUAGAGUGUGACGCCUGCCCGGUGCCGGAAGGUUAAAUGAUGAAGUGCAAGCUUUUGAUUGAAGCCCCGGUAAACGGCGGCCGUAACUAUAACGGUCCUAAGGUAGCGAAAUUCCUUGUCGGGUAAGUUCCGACCUGCACGAAUGGCGUAACGAUGGCCACACUGUCUCCUCCUGAGACUCAGCGAA